GAUGAACGCUGGCGGCGUGCCUAAUACAUGCAAGUCGAGCGAACAGAUGAGGAGCUUGCUCCUCUGACGUUAGCGGCGGACGGGUGAGUAACACGUGGAUAACCUACCUAUAAGACUGGGAUAACUUCGGGAAACCGGAGCUAAUACCGGAUAAUAUAUUGAACCGCAUGGUUCAAUAGUGAAAGACGGUUUUGCUGUCACUUAUAGAUGGAUCCGCGCCGCAUUAGCUAGUUGGUAAGGUAACGGCUUACCAAGGCAACGAUGCGUAGCCGACCUGAGAGGGUGGUCGGCCACACUAGAACUGAGACGCGGUCCAGACUCCUACGGGAGGCAGCAGUAGGGAAUCUUCCGCAAUGGGCGAAAGCCUGACGGAGCAGCGCCGAGUGAGUGAUGAAGGUCUUCGGAUCGUAAAACUCUGUUAUUAGGGAAGAACAAAUGUGUAAGUAACUAUGCACGUCUUGACGGUACCUAAUCAGAAAGCCACGGCUAACUACGUG
rnacentral:rRNA from 1 species